AGUGAACGCUGGCGGUAGGCCUAACACAUGCAAGUCGAACGGCAGCACAGUAAGAGCUUGCUCUUACGGGUGGCGAGUGGCGGACGGGUGAGGAAUACAUCGGAAUCUACUUUUUCGUGGGGGAUAACGUAGGGAAACUUACGCUAAUACCGCAUACGACCUACGGGUGAAAGCAGGGGAUCUUCGGACCUUGCGCGAUUGAAUGAGCCGAUGUCGGAUUAGCUAGUUGGCGGGGUAAAGGCCCACCAAGGCGACGAUCCGUAGCUGGUCUGAGAGGAUGAUCAGCCACACUGGAACUGAGACACGGUCCAGACUCCUACGGGAGGCAGCAGUGGGGAAUAGUGGACAAUGGGCGCAAGCCUGAUACAGCCAUACCGCGUGGGUGAAGAAGGCCUUCGGGUUGUAAAGCCCUUUUGUUGGGAAAGAAAAGCAGCAGGUUAAUACCCCGCUGUUCUGACGGUACCCAAAGAAUAAGCACCGGCUAACUUCGUG
rnacentral:rRNA from 1 species